GUUUACAGGUAGCAAGUUCAGACAGCCACCAGUUCGCCCCAUUGUGAACACGGAGACCUCUCUGGACUCACAAUUAAAGGCUACAUAAUGCAUUCCACUACAAGUGACGAAAUCCAGCGCCCAGAAUAACAAGCAAGACAACUUUUUAAAGUGACUCUUGUUGACCAGUGUCUCCUGUGCAUUUGUUUGGUAAGCUUCUGGUGGAUUUUUCAAGAGGCUAGUAUGAAUUCUUCUGAAUUAUUCUCAAGGAAGAGUGACUCUUCCUGAUGGCAAAGCAGAUACCCUAGCAUACACACCAGCAGGUGACUGCCAUGUUCCUCGAGUCAGUGUGACUCUGUUAAGGACGUUGAAGUUGUCCUUCUGCUCGAGUCCAGGGAGAGAAUGCUGAAGCUAGGUGAGUGAAAACUGCUCUCCGAUGAUCUUGGGUGUGAUGUCUUUGUCGGAAUCUGGCAGAAAGUUCAGAUGACUAAGUGACAUGGUGUCGCUGUGUACCGGGAAAUGAUGUUUGUCAUGGCUUUAGAAGGGUCGUGUUCAACACAUCCUUGCUUUUCUUCUGCUGUGGCUCUGGAUGUGGAGAGCCAGUGGUAAGCUGAGGGGAAUAUGAGUAUUGUGGGUGAAGAAAAUGGCAUUUGAAGUUUGCAUACCGUUUCAUUUUUAAACAAAAUGAACGAUUGAAAUGUUUCAG
rnacentral:lncRNA from 1 species